AGCUUCCAGACUUUUUUUCCUGGUGGAAAGCGCUCCUGUUCCUUUUUUCAGCCCUGCACUACAAAGACCUGUCCCACCUCUUGGAAAAUUGAAUCCAAAUGAAGAUUCCUGCCAGACAAAAGGUGCCACCACAGAAAGGUCUUGCUGCUCAAGAAGUGCCCAGGCUGCCCCAACAACUGCACAUCAAAGCCAAAGGAUCCAGACUUUUUUUCCUGGUAGAAAGAGCUACUGUUCCCUUUUCUCCAACCCUGCUCCACAAUGGCCUGUACCACCUCUUGGAAAAUUGAAUCCAACUGAAGAUUUCUGCCAGACAAAAGGUGCCACCACAGAAAGGUCUUCCUGCCCAAGAAGUACCCAGGCUGCCCCAACAACUGCACCUCAAAGCCAAAGCUUCCAGACUUUUUUUCCUGGUAGAAAGAGCUGCUGUUCCCUUUUUGCAGCCCUGCGCUGCAAUUGCCUGUCUCACGUCAUGAAAAAUUUUCUACAUAUGAAGAUUC